rnacentral:rRNA from 1 species
UGGAUAUGAGCCCCUAUCGCAUGGUGGGGGUUGGAAAGAUUUUUUGGUCUGGGAUGGGCUCGCGGCCUAUCAGCUUGUUGGUGAGGUAAUGGCUCACCAAGGCGUCGACGGGUAGCCGGCCUGAGAGGGUGACCGGCCACACUGGGACUGAGACACGGCCCAGACUCCUACGGGAGGCAGCAGUGGGGAAUAUUGCACAAUGGGCGAAAGCCUGAUGCAGCAACGCCGCGUGAGGGAUGACGGCCUUCGGGUUGUAAACCUCUUUUAGCAGGGAAGAAGCGAAAGUGACGGUACCUGCAGAAAAAGCGCCGGCUAACUACGUGCCAGCAGCCGCGGUAAUACGUAGGGCGCAAGCGUUAUCCGGAAUUAUUGGGCGUAAAGAGCUCGUAGGCGGUUUGUCGCGUCUGCUGUGAAAUCCCGAGGCUCAACCUCGGGCCUGCAGUGGGUACGGGCAGACUAGAGUGCGGUAGGGGAGAUUGGAAUUCCUGGUGUAGCGGUGGAAUGCGCAGAUAUCAGGAGGAACACCGAUGGCGAAGGCAGAUCUCUGGGCCGUAACUGACGCUGAGGAGCGAAAGGGUGGGGAGCAAACAGGCUUAGAUACCCUGGUAGUCCACCCCG